CAAGUUAUCGUCGAAACUAGUCGUUGUAAUAUUUUAAAUACCAUAAUAAAGGGUACUUCAAGUUUCAAUAUUUUUUUAUUAAUUAAAAAUUCUCUUCAACUAUAGUUUUUAAGACAAAAUGAAACGUUUUACUUUUGCUUCACUGAUUAAACUUUUCAAUAAAUUCUUCUUCUUCUUCUUCAGAAAUGUGCGGCAAUCUUAUGUCUCCUGCUAAGACCGUGUAGUGUUUGAAUCAUAUGAAAUUCAAGGUAAAAUCGUUCAGCUUUGAACAUGAGGAUGCCCUUUGUCUUAAAUAUACUUCUCUUCUGCGGAAAAGAACAGCUCUUUCUUCCUUCUAUCCAAAAUAAUGGUAAGACAAGUAGAUACAUCAACUUCAACGAUCUUCAUGAAUGUAAGUUAAAAACACACACUUCUCUUAUUAUUGAGUUUAUUGAAAUUGGAAUCUAAGAUUACGUGAUCACAACUUCUUGAUGAUGAUAAAUUACUAUAUAAAUGAGGAGAAUAGAUUUGGGAUUUGUCUGGGUGGAAAACACUCAACAUAUUUUUUCAGCGACGGUAUCAAUAUUUCGCAGUGCCGAAUUCUUCAGGGUAUUCAAUAUAUCACCAUUAUUUUGCAUUCUCAUUUAAUCAAUUAUAUUAAGGGAGAAUUGUUCGUUCAAAGCUAAAAUAAACUAAAUAUUUCUUUGACCAUGGUAAUAAAUCAAAUGAUCAACAGUUUUAUUCCUGUCUGACGUUCAUUACAUUAUAGAAUAUAUGAUGUUCAUUUCGUUUUCAUUAUAGGAGUGGCUGUGAAAGACGUAAUUUAAUUCAUCAUAACAGUAAAAAACUGACUCAUUUAACAAGGAGAUUGAAACGGCCUUUCAAUAGUGAGGUGGAAGUCAAUAACGUUCUGGCAUAAAAAGCCUUAGAUUGUUGCUGCGAUUGUUCCAAAGACCCUUCAUUGACUUUUAUUCUUCAAUAUUCGAAUUUACGAGUAGGCCUACUAAAAACGAUUGUGUUCCACUCCGCUAUCACUGGUCUUCCAUUUUUGAAGAUACAUCGUUUAAUCACAACACGAAUAUUGCCAAAAUAUACAUUUAUUUCGGGAUUAACGCUUGGAUAUUCGUAUUUUUAAAUCUGGAUUUAAAUAAAACAUAAAUUCAGCACUCUGGAUGUAGUACAUUAAAGAGAGUGAUAUACAAUAUACCUACAGAGCUCUGCUGCAGGCAAUGAAACAGCUUUCACAGUUGAACCAACAUCGCCAGUUUCAGAGAGUUUGGCGCAGAUCAAUGAAAGCAACCAACCAAGGAAAGAGAUUGAUGAUAAAAAUGCAGACUUGGAGAAAGAUGGAACAACUGUGGACAAUUUGGCUCAGCAACCAAGUGAUGGUGAUGGAGUAGGAAAGGUGGGCAGUCAGAGAGGUAAAGAAUUGAUUAAAAAUGGAACCAACAUAAUCGAUCAAAGCUCUUUGAGUACAGAUGGAAUAAAACUGGAGCCUAGAUCGCUUCUGACUGAAUUUCAAAAAGAUCGUUCAACCCCUGAUAAUGGAAAUGGAACAAUUCCAAAUACAGAAAAUACCAAUCUACUACUCGAUGAAGUUGAUAAGAAAGUUCAAUCGGAUCUCCCAACUUUGAUUCUUGAUUCAAAAAAUACCACAAAUGAAAUUUUGGCUACUGAUGCUUCUGCAGUCAUUGACAAUCAACAAUCUCAAGAGAUACACGUAAGAAGCCGCCCUAUAACAGAGAAAAACUAUACAGUAAUUGAGAAUGCAGAGCAGCUGUUGGCUAAUUAUACAGACUUGAUAGUGAAGAGUUCUACUUCAACUGACGGGAACAUUGACGAAAUCGUAAAGGAUAAAUCUUUGAAAAAUGUAGAAGCUUCAGGAAUUUCUUUGUUAUCUUCAACAAAUGAAACCAUUUAUGAAAAAGGAAAGAGUUACUUUUCAUCAAAAGUAGAUGCAUCACAAAAGUCUUUGGCUAGCAAUAAUCAACCCUCUCCGGAGGUGGGCCUACAAGUGGAAGAGUUUCCCAUCACAGAAAAUAAACAUUCAAAAAUCGAAAACAGAAACCAACUACCAAGUAACUCUACAGAUUCGAUUGAAGAUAGUUCAACUCCAACUGAUGGAAACAUUGAAGAAAUAGAAAAGGAUAAAUCUUCAAUGACUGUAAAGGCAUCAGAAAUUUCGGGUACUAACAAUAAUUCCAAUAUUCAAUUAUCUACAGAUACUCAAGUGGGAAAACUGCCGAUAACAGAGAAAGAUAAAUUAAAAUUCGGAGAGCAACAGUCUAGUACCUCUAAAGAUUUGAUUGUAGAGAGUUUAACUCCACCUCAAACUGAUGAGAAGAUUGGGAAUUAUAACUCUUCAACAGAUUUAGUCACAUCGGACAUUCCAGAAUUAAGUUAUUCCACUAAUUUGAAUACAAAAAAUGGUGCAUUGAUGAGCAACAAUAGCUCUGUAAUUUUGAAUGGUAGUGAUGGUAAUGCUUCAUUUCCUCAAAGAGGUGAUAUCAAGGAUUUUAGAGAACGUACUGUUACUGAUCCUAAAUAUUCACUUCAUAUUGGUGAUCAGGUCCCAAGGGAGAAUUUUCAAAAUAAUUCUGCAGACACGAUUGCAAGUGAUAUUUCAAAUAAGGAAGUAAAUAAUGGAAUAGGUAAUAAGGUUGUUGAUGGGAUUCACAACAGCACCAAAUCGCAUCCAUCUAAAAAGCAAGCUCAAAAAUCACAUUCAGCAACUAUUUGGACCCCAUUUGAUUGGAAGGAAUAUAACGCUACAAAAUUAGAUCAAGAUAAUUCAGAUUCAAUCAACAAUAACGAAGCAAAUGUUGAAGCUAUCACACCCGGUGAAAUUAAUAUUAAAAAUUAUAGUAUGAUUCCCAUUGAAGAUUAUCAACCUAAUGAUAAUAUCAACACUUUCAAUGAUCGAAACUCUAAUUUAUCAUCCGCUAAUAGUGGUAUAAAACUGUUUCUAAAUUUGGAUGAGGUAAGUUUCCAACGAACAUCUUAUAUUCCAAAAUCUCAAAAGAAUAAGAAGGUUCAUUUGACUGAGUAUUCAGAGUAUUUAUUUGUACCGGGAAAUUUUAUUGAUAAUCAGAGUCCGCAAACAAAACUUUCUUCAUCUUGUAAAGAAAAAUUUGAAAGAGAAUCACGUCGAAGAAAAAAUGUUUAUUAUCCAGAGGAAAACGUUCAAACGUUUACUAAUAAAUUUGAAAAUUUCAAAAGUGGAAUAUUUCACUUGAAAAAACAUGCACAAUCAAAUCAGAAGCAUGAUUGGAUUUCUAAACCUAGUGAUUUGAAUAGAGUUGCCAAUUUUAGAAAUUCCAUAAAAUCAUCCCAUAAUAGUGAUAAUUUUGUGAAUAAAAAAGAUCCAACUAAACCACUCGUCAAAAGGAGAAAUUUAAUACGAUUGACAUUACAGCUCUCAUCAAUUAUUGAAAAAAUCACUUUUGAAAUUAAAUAUUUUUAUAAAAAAAUACAAACCUCCAAUGAACUUGGCUAUGAGGAAACCAUCUAGAAUUAAAAUCUAUUAUAUUAAAACAGUGGGCUUGUUAAGAGAAUGUAAUGAUUUCCUUGAAUAAGUUAAAACAACGCAAAGCAGCAAGCAUGAGUGUUGAUUAGAUAAGUAACAUGGUGAUCAGCACUCAUCAAAUCUCUUGAUUAUAAUCAAUUAUCAAUAGAGGUACUAUAUUUUGAAAAUGUAUUUCAACAAUUAAUGUAGUAAUAAAUAAAGAAUACGGUAUCAAUCUAAUUGCCUCUAUGAUCAAUGUAAUUUUUAUAACUCUGAAAAACUGUAUUCUCGACCAAAAUAAACUAAUAGAUGAAAAAGUUGCAAAUAUUCAGUUAUUUUAAUCAAUUUUGUGGAAUAGCCUAUUAGUAACCAGUUUAUUUAAUAAUUAAAAAUAAAUCUUUCGGUCAACUAUUUUGAAAACAAAUUAAACAAAACUAUAUGUAUCAAAAUUAUGUUGUGAAUUUGAAGUUUGUUUAUAAUGCUUUUCAACGGUUUUAUUAACAAGCAAUCUAUCAAAAUUUGAAAUUGUUUGUUUUAUUCUGACUUGUAGUGUCAGAUUUUUGAUUUUGUGAAGAAAUUAAAAUGGACAUAACUUAGCCUACAUAAUAUUUAGACUAUUUGAGACAAAAUUUAUGAAAUUGAAGAAGUUUUGAUCAAUAGCCUGUUUUACUUUUUCGACUAUUGUAUUGUUUGCUCUAUUCAAUAAAUAAUUGGAUAAACUAUAUUGGAAAAAGUCAUUCAUUAACAGAAAUAGAUCUAUAUGUUUGUUCUAUGUAUUCGAUUAGAAACAAAUUGAGUAGCCUUGUAACAAGAUAAAAAAAUGAGAAUAAUCUUCACAUUCUCAAAUUAAUGUAUUGAUGCUGCUCCGCUCACAUCGGUAAAUCAAAAGGCCUGCUCAAGCAAAAUCUCAACGUGUGUUUGUGGAUUUGCAGAGUUCUGAUAAUUUAGGAGCCGCCUCGUGGCAAACGCUUAAACAGCAGCAGACAGACGGAGGAAAAAUCCCGCUUCAGUUGUUCGAAAUUAAUAAGGCACACAGACGUCUGCAAAUGUAUGCUUACGUCUACAUGCAUACAUUUAAUUUUUUCUCAUAUGCUAAUAUGUGCGUUUGUCUCUAAUUUUC